ACCGCAGACGAGCUCGCGCCCGCGCCGCUCAGAUCUCCCAGCUGGACAUUGGAAAUAGCUUUUGAUGGUUUAGGGCCUCUUUCAUUUGACCCCAGGUAAGCCCACUGUUGGUGACCUUUUAUAAAUAUUUGUAAAACUGUUUGAACAAUUAGAGAAUAUAACCCCCUCUACCCUCUUUCUCUCUGUAACUGCUGUUUUUGUCAAAAAGCAUUUCAAUGUCAAUAUCAUUUACUUACAUUUUGGGGCAUUAGAAUUAAUCCAUGCCUAUGAAACAUUGCAGAGUUAUAUGACUAUAAUUCACAGUCUCUUCUUUAAUACAGUGGUUUGCUAUUAUCAUGCUUAAUGUAAUAAUAAUUCUAGUAACAAUAUUACUUGUAAAGAAGGCAUGUGGUUAUGCUUUUCCUAUAUUUUGAGUAAGUGUCCAAAUUUCUAUCAUUCUUUUUUUUAUAAGAUCUUAGAGAUACAUCUCUCAUAUAAUUUAUAUAUAACAUUGUUGAUACUCAUUCGUUAUUACCAUCACAUAUUCCAGUCUGUUGGCACUACUGCUAACAUGUUAAGAGUACUGAGUUACUCUGAGCCAUAUGUUAUCUACACGAUUAUAUGAAUAGCUUAUAACAGUGUAUCACAGUGGUAUUUGAAUUCUAAGUUAUUGUGGAUUUGAAAAAAAAAAACAACUAAUUAGAAAUUGCUAGCAGUUAUUUUUAUUGUGGAUAUUAAAGUAAAUCUUCAUAUAAUUAUACUUUAAGAGAUUUUAAUCAGUAUAAUUAGUUAUAUAUUAUGCUAUCAUUGAGAUUAUUUAGCUUUCUACUUGAAAGAUAAUGGAAUGGCCCAAUAAGCAAUAUUCUGUUUCUCUUAAAAUACAGAAGUUGAAGCAAUUCACUCAUUCACACAAUGGAUAUUUACUGACUGUGAGCUACUUUACACUGAGGAGAUGAUGGUGAAAAAUAUGUAUCAAUCUCAAGAGCUUACAGUCUAGUGGCAAUCAGUUAAAAAAAUAGGCAAGGACAGCAUCACAUCAUGAGUACAAACAACAGGAAUAAGCAUGGUGUACAAAAUGUGAAAUGAGGUGGGCUUCUAAGCCAGGCUAGGGAUGAAUGCUCAAGGAGGGAUAUGGUGGUGAAAGAGGGAAGAAUAUUUCAUUUUGGUGUUGCAAAGUAGUAUGAUGUCUGAAGUAUAAGAGGGAGUUUGAGAUAGGGAGGUGUGUCUAAAGAAUUCAGGAAGGGGAAGAUCACUGAAUGUCCUUCUGAACCAUAUCAAGAAAUUGAGAAAAAAAUUGUGAGCAGUGGCAGUUAAACUGGAAAGACUUCAUCCAGUAUUGAACAUUAUCUUCCAAUCAGGCUGAUUAAAUUCUCCAGCUUCUUCUAUCUUAAAACCAGAAAGGCAGGCCAUUCUUCCUCCUUCACACCUACAUAAAUAGAAUAUAUUUCCUAGAAUAUAAUGUGUGUGUAAGCAAUGACUUGGGCUAAUGCACCUUAUUGUCCCAGGAUCUAUUGCAGUACUUUGCACAUAGCAGAGUCUAGAUUCAUAGUAAGGGGAUGCCAUCAAAUUCAAUAUGAAAUACAAUUUUUAAAAUAAAUAAUGUGUCAAUAUAUAAGCAAAAAAAAUAUGUCAAUAAAUUCUCUUUAAAAACCUAAAAAGGGUUUGGGGAAAACUAAGAAUAAGAAAAGAAAAUUAUUUUUAGCUAAGAAGAAAUAACCAAUAUAUCCAAGUUUUAUUUAUUUUAACUCUAAAAAAAUAUAUAGACAAAAUACAUUAUAAAAGAUUUAUUUUGUAAUGGGAAAGAGAUGAAAUGAUAACUAUCAUUAAUCAUAUAUUAUAAGAUAAUGUAUUAAGAAGAUAAAGUUCACCUGUUUGAUUAAAAAAAAAAAGUAAUGAGGAACCUUUAAAAAAAUACAAUGGUUUACAAAUCUCAAAAUUACUUUAAUAGUGUAUAUUAUUAUAAAGUGUGGACACCAUGGAUUCAGUUAUAAAAGUGUAUUCUAUGUUUCUUACCAUUAUAAAGUUCUCCAUUCUAGAGACUUUGCUUUGACCAGCUUUUCUGGGCCUGUUCCUUUAGGAUGUGCUCUCUUAGAGUUCCUGUUGUGGCUCAGCAGGUUAAGAACAUGAAUAGUAUCCAGGAUGCACGUUUGAUUCCUGGCCUAGCUCAGUGAGUUAAGGACCCAGCAUUGCUGUGAGCUGUGGUGUAGGUCACAGAUGUAGCUCACCUCCUGUGUUGCUGUGGCUGUGGUGUAGGAUGGCAGCUAUGGCUCCAAUUCGACCCCUAGCCUGGAAACUUCCAUAUGCUACAGGUAUGGCCCUAAAAAAGAAAAAAAAAGAUUGGAGCAUUCCUGUGAGUUAUUUUUUUUUUGAAGUGGCUACAUAUAAUUAUGGCAGGACUAAGUCACUCACCCAAGACUGCAGAGUAGGAUAUCAGCUCUCAGGUCUGUUUAGUGGCCUAAAGAUAGACACAAACUGGCAGUUUCAAUAAACCCAGCAAUUUUGGUAGGUCAUUUGAAAUACUUUUUUUCCAAAAUGAAAAUAACUUUUAAAUGAUAAAACCUGUCUAGAAUAUUUAAGCAAUAAAUAAAAUAUGAACAAAGAUGCCAAGUUGCAUACAGAAUCUCUCACCUGUUGUCCCAUAGGGUAAUAAAUGUUCACAUUUUGCAAAGUGAAGAAGAGGCAGUUCUCAAAGAAAUGCUGCCUAACGUUUUGGGAUAAUGGACACUUCUCUGGCUUGCUUUUGGCUAAAGUACAGGUUAAAAAUAGCCAAAUUAUGACAUUCCCAUGGUGGUGCAAUCCCUGGCCUUGCUCAGUGGGUUAAGGAUCUCGCGGCACUGUGAGGUGUGGUGUAGGUUGCAGAUGCAGCUCAGGUCUGGUGUGGCUGUGGCUGUGGCUGUGGUGUAGGCCGGCACUGUAGCUCUGAUUAGAUCUCUAGCCUGGGAACUUCCAUAUGUCACAGGUGGGGCC
rnacentral:lncRNA from 1 species